CCCUACUCCGCUCCCUCAUUUCCGUUUCUUUUCCCCACAUGAGUCACGAGGGCGACGGCGGCGGCGGCGGCGAGAUGGCCCUCCGCCCCGGCCCCCCGCAGGCGGCGGCGCCGCUGGAAGACGAGGACGUCCUGGGCGAGAUCCUCGUGCGCCUCCCCCCGCUGCCCUCCUCGCUCGUCCGCGCCGCCGCCGUCUCCAGGCACUGGGGGCGCCUCGCCGCGGACCGCGCCUUCCUCCGCCGCUUCCGCACCCACCACCGGAGGCCCCCCGUCCUCGGCGUCUUCGAGGAGCGCGACGGGGAGCUGUUGUUCACCCCGCUCCUCGACGCCCCCGACCGGAUCCCCCGCGAGCGCUUCUCCAUGCGGUUCUGGCACGUGCUCGGUUCCUGGACCUUGCUCGGGUACCGCCACGGCCGCGUCCUCAUGGUCAACCUGGAUCUGGCCCUGCUCCUCGUUUUCGCCCCUCUCGCCGGCGGCCGCCGAGGCCUCCGCGGCGUGGUGAUUCCUCCGGAUUUCGUCGACGGCGAGUACGCCGUCGCCAACGGAGCUGUGCUCUGCGCUGCCGGCGACGAGCAGGGCCACGUGCACGGAGACUGCCACUCGGGCCCCUUCAAGGUGGUUCUGGUGGCCACCAGAGUGGGACACCCGGUCCUAGCCCGGGUAUACUCCUCAGACACCGGUGAGUGGGGAGAUCUUGUCGUAAUGGCGGAACCAUGUGUUGUUAGCAGCUUCCCCUCCACCCUCGUCGGCAAUGCUCUUUACUGGUGGCUAAAAAAGUGUCAGCACGAGGAUGAUGGCAUACUCAAGUUCGAUUUGGAUAGCCAGACACUAUCUGUGAUCAAGAGGCCUAUUUUUAAUCACAUUCCCAGUUGCAGCAUCCGGAUCAUCAGGGGAGAGCAUGGCGGUGUUGGCCUCGCCGUAUGUUGGUACCCGAGGUUCCAAAUCUGGGAACGCAUGGUCAAUAGUCAUGGUACUGCCAUAUGGGUGCUGCGAAAGACGGCUCGCAUGCAUAGUAUGCUCCAGUAUGCUAUGCUGACUAUAGUAGGGUACUCUGAGGAUGGUGAUGCGCUUCUUCUAACAGUGUCCUUCGGUGGGGGUGUGGCCGCCUACAGCUUCAUGCUUCAACUUGAGUCAAUGGAGUGGACGAAUCUUAAUCAAAGUUUUUUGGAGUAUUCCUACCAUCCGUUCGCAUACUUCUAUACUGCAGGUACUGUCAGAGCGUCAAGUACCGCUCCAGCCAUUGAGCCACCACAGCAGCGAAGUACAAUUCCAGCCAUUGUGCCACCACAGCAGUGAAGUACUGGUCCAGCCAUUCCACAGCUGCGGGGUGGUCGCAUGAUUUAGUUGAUCAGUAGGAUUUGCAUCUGCAGCAGUUGGAUUUGGUCUCUUAACAGCACUUGGUGGUACGAGUUGAAUCAUAGAACAGGAGGCAGGUAAGUACAGGGGACAGGUAAGCAUUGUUAUUAUGAUCUGUUCGUAGCUUCCUAAAAAUGAGUGUACUGUCAUGGUCAUUUGACACAAUGAAGAAAAAACAAAGGAGUGUAGGCUGAUAGAAGUCGUCAUUGUGAGUUGGCACCUUGCUUUCAACAAAAGUUCAUCUCAUUGCUCCCUAUUUGUACGACAGCAAUACAUAUCAGUAAAAUAAAAGGAUGUUUAUUAGCCAGUUUUAGACGUGGUGGCAUAAUAUCAGUAAAAACUAAAGAAUGCUACUAUUCAUCAGAUUUUCCUUUUGCGAAUAUUUGCGUUGCCUUUUUUGGACCAUAACUUUUUGUUCUUUGGCAGAUGCAUAGUGUGCUACUACAAAAUAUUUACUUGAUCCUUGAUUGAAAUGCUUUUAUGAACUGAGAUCUUGCGCUCUGCUUUUACCAAUCAGCCUGUUUGCUUCUUUUCUUACAUGUACUUUAAUUAUACAUUUCUGGAUUUGGUGCUUUGAUUUGCUACAGUUUCCUUGAUUCAGUAGAUGCAUGAUGUGCAUCAGUAUGCUGGACUUCAUGAUCGGUUUUCCAUCUCACAUCAAUAGUUUAGGCCACUAUUUGUUUAUCCAUGCAUUUUAGGUAAACAUUGGUGUAGACUUGGUUGUUUUUUUUGGUUGUUUGUGGUAUCCAUUUCCCCUACACUAGGUAAUUGCCCGUGCCAAUUGGCCCGUGCGUUGCAACUUGCAACGGAGGCAUACAAAAUGUACCACUAAAAUUUUAGUUAGUUUUUUACAUAACAACCAUGAUUUACCUUUAUUGUUAAUGUGAACCUUGAUUUACCAUCUAUUUAUUGUUAAUGUGACUGCAUACUAACUGAUGCAAUUAGCAAGUGUUAAGUGAUAACCUAAUUCUGGAAUAUCAGUUGUGGGAAAGUGCAGCACAAAUUAAUCCUAAUUUAAUUCUUUCCCCAACCUGCUUGGUCCUACAACAGGCAAACAUUAGGUUCCUAGCAACAAAAUGAUAUGCAAGGAGUAAAUUGCAACCCCACAGAAGAGAAAAAAAGGGCUCUUUACCUUCUAUCCUCCCAAUCUGCAAAACAAAUAGAAUUGAGACAUAUCGUGCCAAUUCAAUUACUAAAGCUCAUGUCCAAUUUUGGAAGCUAAUGGCCAAGUAGUUGGCAAUUUUGUUUCUGAAGAGAAAUGCAUUGAUGCAAUUUUGUCCACUUUGGGUCAUUCCCUCUUAACAAAAAUGCCAGUGAUGUUUCUCUGAAUGUAGUAUACUGACCAUUUCAGCAACAUAAUUUCUCUAAGUGACCAUGUAGUAUUCAGUGACUUUUCUAUAUGACUAAUAUGCAACAUGCAUGGAUGGCUGGGAGAUUGGGCAGAGAGAGUUUGUCAUGAAAACUGUUUUUCGCUUUAACUUUCACUUUGUUGUGUUCCCUCUGUCCAUUCUUUCCUCAGUUAAAACUUCACUGCCAAAAACCAGAUUACCUCCUUCCAUGAUCUGCACAAAGGCAUAAGAAUACUAAAGUGUCACCAGACUGAGAGAUGCAAAGUACCAACUGCAUAAAAUCUGUGUCCAAUUCGUUUAGUUAUGGCAAUUACAAAUUUAGUUGUUAAAUAUAUACAAUAAGAAGUUCAGUGUUCUACCAAUUACAUCACAUUAGUAGUCAGUUUAUCCCAUGCAGUGCACAGGAAAAUGUCAAAACAAAGGAGAGGAUGAGGCCGUCUACCUUGCAGAGGAGCAAGCCCGUACUUGCUGCUGCCGGUCCUGGCGCCACCUUCGCGUAGGUGGAGUUCGUCAAGGUCGAGAUAUGCGAGAUCCCCAGAGUGGCGCAUGGCAUAAGAGCACCAAAAGAAUUCAGAGGAGGGGCUCUGAAUCGAACAUAGAAGAAUCAAAUCUUUUGCUUGCGGCGCCGGAUCAUGAGCCCCCGGCGCCAAUCGGCAGGUGCCCCGUCGGCCUCUCUGGGUCAAUGAUGUAGCAGACUGAUGCGAAGGCAGAGCCAGCGGGCGAGGAGGUCAAUGUAAGGAACCGGGGGUUGGCGGUGUCGCGCAGCGCGUUUUUGGGUAGCUCGGACAUCGAAGUGGCACCAGUGAAUCGAGGAGAGGAAGGAGGUGUUGAGGUGUGGGGUGGCGGCUGGCUGCAGCGGAUGUCCGGGAGCGGUAGGCGUGGCGGCAGAGAACAGGGUAAGGGGAUUUAGGGUUGAAGAGUGGUGCGGGAUGGAAAGAUGAGAGAGGUGGGCGAUGGAUUCUGCUGGAUUUUUUUUUCCUUGCGUGGGUUCUUUUGCCAUCUAGAAAACCGAGUGGGGGAGAGGAGCGGCACGAGGCAGGAUGUGAAACGGAAGAGGCGGACGAAAGGAAUGAGCAAAAAGUUUUUUGACGGGAUAAACCUUACUCUUUUUUUGGUAAGUAGAGAUGGUCCGUUUUGUCCUCUAGGAAACCAUUAUUGUUGAGUUGUUCCUUUGUGCUACUGUUCCUCCUUUUUUCCCCCCCCCUUUUGGUGUCUUCCUUCCCUGUUAUGUAGUUCCAUUUUGCACUGGAUUUUGGCAGUGGCAAAGUAAUAAACUUAUCACUGGCGUGCAUUCAUUUGACCUUUUGCUUUGUGCACACAAUCAUGCAUUAAUCUUUGGUUAUGUUGCUAUUAUUCUGUUUAGAGUUUUGCAGUCAGAUGCAUCUUUUGUGAAUAGCUCUUGUAGAGUUAAUCAGUGGGCUAUGGAAAUUUUAUCCCCUCACUCUAUAAGUUGGUUGGUUUGAAGCUUAGCAUAUAUUUUCUCCCUGAAUGCUAUCUAGUAUUUACAAAUAAGAAUGCUCUCAAUAAUGUCCAUGCCUCUAAUUUUUUUUUUGAAGAUUAAAUUCAGUUAGCUAAGUUUCAUUAUAUGGAUUUCUAACAGUUUAAUCUGCAGAAUGUUUUCUGUUUGGUUAAUCUAGCUAAUUUUGCUAUUUCUCCAUUGUUUUGUUGCUUUAAAAGCCAUGUUUAAAUUGUCUUUAUAUUUGAUUAACUGUACUAUGUACAUAAUAAUAUUACCUACUUGGUGAAGUACGUCCUCUAUUGUUUGCUUCUAGUAGCUCCCAAGUUGCCAUUUUUCUGAUAGCCUUUUUUGACCAACAAAGACUGUCAAACUCAUUUUGCCAUUUUUCUGAUCCUGUUAUAUCUUUUUUAUGUUUAUGUCAUUUUCUUGGAUAUAAUUAAGUCAGUGCAUUUUGUUGUUUCCUUGCAACUCAUUUUUUGGGAUUUACUUGGUUUCUUACCAUGUAUCUUGUGGUACAAGCAAUGACUCUGUAUGAGUUUGCGUUGGUAUGCAGGGUUACUUGGCAUGUCAAAGAACCACAAGCCAUAACUGGCCGUGCAAGCAUCUCAGAUCUUGUAGGUUUAUGAAGGUGAGCGCCCUGUUGGCAAAAUAGGGCAUGCGAUCUUCAUAUGUCAAACCCUUGUUAAUGAAUUUGCAUCGUCGAAUGACUUGAUGAAUGUACAUAUCUGGAAAGUUACUCUAUUCUGCUGGUGCAGGCUGGAAUGCUGUUAUAUCCUGUCAAGUUUUGUUGUGCCUAUGUGCCCAACUCACACUGGGCCUGAAAAUCACAAUGCAUCUUGUUUUACUGUA